CCCAAGUUCCUGCCUCCAACCCCAGCCAACAGAGCUCAACUGUACGCCCCUGUUAGUCAGACCCUAGAAAUCAACAUCAGUGCAGUAGCAAAUAUCGCCAAUAUUUCUGAGCUGCAGUUCAGUGGGCCACACAACAUAAUUGAGACUACAGCGGGAGAAGGACAGUUCAUUCUGAGAUGGACGCCAUCUGAAAGUGAAAAUGGAGAGAGCCACCCCAUUUGUUUUGUCGUCCAGGCAGAGUUGAAUUCAGCCAAAUAUCACUCUGAGUUUCGAUGUGUUAUUGUGACUGUUGGAAAUG